UGGGGAAUAUUGCACAAUGGGGGAAGCCCUGAUGCAGCAACGCCGCGUGAGUGAAGAAGUAUUUCGGUAUGUAAAGCUCUAUCAGCAGGGAAGAAGAUGACGGUACCUGAGUAAGAAGCCCCGGCUAACUACGUGCCAGCAGCCGCGGUAAUACGUAGGGGGCAAGCGUUAUCCGGAUUUACUGGGUGUAAAGGGAGCGUAGACGGCCAGACAAGUCUGAAGUGAAAGCCCGGGGCUCAACCCCGGGACUGCUUUGGAAACUGCCCGGCUAGAGUGCUGGAGAGGUAAGCGGAAUUCCUAGUGUAGCGGUGAAAUGCGUAGAUAUUAGGAAGAACACCAGCGGCGAAGGCGGCUUACUGGACAGUAACUGACGUUGAGGCUCGAAAGCGUGGGGAGCAAACAGGAUUAGAUACCC
rnacentral:rRNA from 1 species